GCAGACACAUUCCAGCCAAUCAGCAGCAGACCCUCCCUCCCAGACCUUCCCACCUCCUGGACUCACUAAGCUCACUAAGAAUGCAGCUUCACAAUGAAUGUAAAAUGGAUGCUGUCCAGGAGGUGGGAGGGUCUGGGAGGGAGGGUCUGCUGCUGAUUGGCUGGAAUGUGUCU